CCUACGGGAGGCAGCAGUGAGGAAUAUUGCGCAAUGGGCGAAAGCCUGACGCAGCGACGCCGCGUGGAGGACGAAGGUUUUCGGAUCGUAAACUCCUGUUAAGAGGGAAGAAAACUCGAGCUCUAACAUAGCUUGAGCAUGACGGUACCUCUAGAGAAAGCACUGGCUAACUUCGUGCCAGCAGCCGCGGUAAUACGAGGGGUGCAAACGGUAUUCGGAUUUACUGGGCGUAAAGGGUGCGUAGACGGCAUAUUAAGUUCGUUGUUAAAUCUUCCGGCCUAACCGGAAGCUCGCGAUGAAAACUAAUAAGCUUGAGGAUGGAAGAGAGAAGUGGAAUUCUUGGAGUAGCGGUAAAAUGCGUAGAUCUCAAGAGGAACACCGAUGGCGAAGGCAGCUUCUUGGUCCAUUUCUGACGUUGAUGCACGAAAGCGUGGGUAGCAAACAGGAUUAGAUACCCUGGUAGUCCACGCUGUAAACGAUGAUUACUGGAUGUCAGUUUCGCUUUGCGAAGCUGGUAUCGUAGCUAACGCGUUAAGUAAUCCGCCUGGGAACUACGAUCGCAAGAUUAAAACUCAAAGGAAUUGACGGGG
rnacentral:rRNA from 1 species